AACGCACGAGACCUGCGGACCUGCGGAAGGAUCAUUAUAGAGUGGUAAACCCCCCGUAAAAGGGGGGGACCUCCUGUCCUUUGUAGGCUCUUUUUUAAAAGGGCUUUUUUUAAUUUUCUGCUUCGGUGGGGUUAUCCCACCGGAACAACCUCAAAACUCUUAUCAAAAAAUCGUUCUGUCUGAGAACCUUUUAUAAUAAAAAAAAACUUUCAACAAUGGAUCUCUAGAUCGGAAGAGCAC
rnacentral:misc_RNA from 1 species